rfam:Lechevalieria aerocolonigenes strain NRRL B-16140 contig68.1, whole genome shotgun sequence.
UUGGCGGUGUACUCCCACUCGCCCUGCGGCCCGGCCAGGACGGUCUCGCCGAAGUACUCGCCGUCGGCCAGGUUGCCGAGCACGGUUUCCCCGCCGUACUCGCCGGUGCCGAUCUUGUCGACCUUGCCGUGCGCGAUCAGCACGACGGUGUCCUUCGGACGACCCUUCUCGACGAUGAGGUCGCCGAUGCCGAACUCCUGCUGCUGGAAGCGGCCGGAGAGCGCGGCGAGCACGGCCUCGUCGUCGAAGCCCUUGAGCAGCGACAGCUCGGUCAGCUCGGCGGGCACGACGCGGAUCUCCGCGCCGAUGUUGGUGAACGAGACGCGGCCAUCGCCCAACGUGUAGGUGAGCCGGCGGUUGACGCGGUACGCACCACCCGCGGCCUGGACCCAGGGCAGCACCUUGAGCAGCCAGCGGGAAGUGAUUCCCUGCAUCUGCGGGACGGACUUGGUGGUAGUGGCCAGAUUACGUGCGGCGGCCGUGCCCAAACUCAGCUGCUGACGGCCCU